CUCCGGUUGAUCCUGCCGGACCCGACUGCUAUCAGAGUGGGACUAAGCCAUGCGAGUCAACAUAGCAAUAUGUGGCGCACGGCUCAGUAACACGUAGUCAACAUGCCCAGGGGACGUGGAUAACCUCGGGAAACUGAGGAUAAACCGCGAUAAGUCACUACUUCUGGAAUGGGUAAUGACUCAAAUCUACAUGGCCCCUGGAUUGGACUGCGGCCGAUCAGGCUGUUGGUGAGGUAAUGGCCCACCAAACCUGUAACCGGUACGGGCUCUGAGAGGAGGAGCCCGGAGAUGGGCACUGAGACAAGGGCCCAGGCCCUAUGGGGCGCAGCAGGCGCGAAACCUCUGCAAUAGGCGAAAGCCUGACAGGGUUACUCUGAGUGAUUUCCGUUAAGGAGAUCUUUUGGCACCUCUAAAAAUGGUGCAGAAUAAGGGGUGGGCAAGUCUGGUGUCAGCCGCCGCGGUAAUACCAGCACCCCGAGUGGUCGGGACGUUUAUUGGGCCUAAAGCAUCCGUAGCCGGUUCUACAAGUCUUCCGUUAAAUCCACCUGCUUAACAGAUGGGCUGCGGAAGAUACUAUAGAGCUAGGAGGCGGGAGAGGCAAGCGGUACUCGAUGGGUAGGGGUAAAAUCCGUUGAUCCAUUGAAGACCACCAGUGGCGAAGGCGGCUUGCCAGAACGCGCUCGACGGUGAGGGAUGAAAGCUGGGGGAGCAAACCGGAUUAGAUACCCGGGUAGUCCCAGCUGUAAACGAUGCAGACUCGGUGAUGAGUUGGCUUCUUGCCAACUCAGUGCCGCAGGGAAGCCGUUAAGUUUGCCGCCUGGGGAGUACGGUCGCAAGACUGAAACUUAAAGGAAUUGGCGGGGGAGCA
rnacentral:rRNA from 1 species